CAUAUCAAUAAGCGGAGGAAAAGAAACCAACAGGGAUUGCCCUAGUAACGGCGAGUGAAGCGGCAACAGCUCAAAUUUGAAAUCUGGCGCAAGCCCGAGUUGUAAUUUGUAGAGGAUGCUUCUAGGUAGCGACCGGUCUAAGUUCCUUGGAACAGGACGUCAUAGAGGGUGAGAAUCCCGUAUGUGACCGGCCCGCACCUUCUACGUAGCUCCUUCGACGAGUCGAGUUGUUUGGGAAUGCAGCUCUAAAUGGGAGGUAAAUUUCUUCUAAAGCUAAAUACCGGCCAGAGACCGAUAGCGCACAAGUAGAGUGAUCGAAAGAUGAAAAGCACUUUGGAAAGAGAGUUAAAAAGCACGUGAAAUUGUUGAAAGGGAAGCGCUUACAACCAGACUUCUGGGCGGUGUUCCGCCGGUCUUUUGACCGGUCUACUCGCCGUCCCGAGGCCAACAUCAUCUGGGACCGCUGGAUAAGACCUCAGGAAUGUAGCUUCCCUCGGGAAGUGUUAUAGCCUGUGGUGAUGCAGCGCGUCUCGGGUGAGGUCCGCGCUUCGGCAAGGAUGUUGGCGUAAUGGUUGUCAGCGGCCCGUCUUGA
rnacentral:rRNA from 1 species